AUUGAACGCUGGCGGCAGGCCUAACACAUGCAAGUCGAACGAUUCGCGGACUGGUGAGUAAUCUCUGGGAAACUCCCUGAUGGAGGGGGAUAACUACUGGAAACGGUAGCUACUCCCGCAUACCAUCAGAUGUGCCCAGAUGCGUUUAGCUUGUUGGUGGGGUAACGGCUCACCAAGGCGACCAUCCCUAGCUGGUCUGAGAGGAUGACCAGCCACACUGGAACGGAGACACGGUCCAGACUCCUACGGGAGGCAGCAGUGGGGAAUAUUGCACAAUGGGCGCAAGCCUGAUGCAGCCAUGCCGCGUGUAUGAAGAAGGCCUUCGGGUUGUAAAGUACUUUCAGCGGGGAGGCGUUAGCCGAAGAAGAAGCACCGGCUAACUCCGUGCCAGCAGCCGCGGUAAUUG
rnacentral:rRNA from 1 species